rnacentral:rRNA from 1 species
CCUACGGGUGGCAGCAGUAAGGAAUCUUUCACAAUGGUCGAGAGCCUGAUGGAGCAACGCCGCGUGCAGGAUGAAGGCAUUCAGGUUGUAAACUGCUUUUAUAAGCGGGAAAUAUGAUGGUAACUUAUGAAUAAGGAGCGUCUAACUACGUGACAGCAGCGGCGGUCAUACGUAGGAGCCGAGCAUUAUCCGGAGUGACUGGGGGUGAAGAGUUGCGUAGGUGGCAUAAGAAGUAGCUAGUGAAAUCUGGUGGCUCAACCAUCCAGACUAUUAGCUAAACUGUUAGGCUCGAGACCGUUAGGGGUAUCUGGAAUUUCUAGUGUAGGAGUGAAAUGCAUAGAUAUUGGAAGGAACACCAAUAGCGUAGGCAGGAUGCUGGGUCGGUUCUGACGCUAAGGCACGAAAGCGUAGGGAGCAAACGGGAUUAGAUACCCGAGUAGUC